rnacentral:rRNA from 1 species
GCUUACGGCCAUACCAGCCUGAAUGCGCCCGAUCUCGUCUGAUCUCGGAAGCUAGGCAGGCUCGGGCCUGGUAGUACUUGGAUGGGAGACCGCCUGGGAAUACCAGGUGCUGCAAGCU